rnacentral:RNase_P_RNA from 1 species
GGCAGAGGGAGCCCGGCCACCGUGUCCCGGCCCGACGUUCCGAUGCCGUCGGGACGCUCGCAAGGGACAUGAGGAAAGUCCCCCCAUCGUCCAGGCAGGUGACCGGGUGCAAACCCGGAGCGGGAGACCGCUGGCGCUGGAACAGAAACGAGACCCCUCUCCCCGACCGAUGAGGCGCGCGAACCCCGAGCGAGGCAUCCGCCGAAGCGAGGGGGAGUUGACCCGCCGAGGGAUAGCGUGGUUCCUACAGGAACCACACACGGGAGAGAACGGAUGGAACGGCGAAUCCUCACCGGUGCAAGCCCGCGCGACAGGUAGCCCGGACGCGGCGCGGGCGCUCAGCCGAAUGCCGGCAAAACAGAAGGGGGCUUACUCCCCUCAGCC